rnacentral:rRNA from 1 species
GAACGUGAAGCCGUCCUUCGGGGCGGUGGAAAGUGGCGCACGGGUGAGUAACGCGUGGGAACCUGCCCCUUGGUAUGGGAUAACCGUGGGAAACUGCGGCUAAUACCGUAUACGCCCUGAGGGGGAAAGAUUUAUCGCCGAGGGAGGGGCCCGCGUCGGAUUAGGUAGUUGGUGGGGUAACGGCCUACCAAGCCGACGAUCCGUAGCUGGUCUUAGAGGACGGUCAGCCACACUGGGACUGAGACACGGCCCAGACUCCUACGGGAGGCAGCAGUGGGGAAUAUUGGACAAUGGGGGAAACCCUGAUCCAGCAAUGCCGCGUGGGUGACGAAGGCCUUAGGGUUGUAAAGCCCUUUCGGCGGGGAAGAUGAUGACGGUACCCGCAGAAGAAGCCCCGGCUAACUCCGUGCCAGCAGCCGCGGUAAUACGGAGGGGGCUAGCGUUGUUCGGAAUUACUGGGCGUAAAGGGCGUGUAGGCGGCCCGUCAAGUCAGGCGUGAAAGCCCUGGGCUUAACCUAGGAGGUGCGCUUGAAACUGAUGGGCUUGAGGCCGGGAGAGGAGAGUGGAAUUCCCAGUGUAGAGGUGAAAUCCGUAGAUAUUGGGAAGAACACCAGUGGCGAAGGCGGCUCUCUGGUCCGGUUCUGACGCUA